UGUCUGGUCAUCUGUAAGCAUUUGGGCUAAAUAAAGCUCUGUGUUAGAAUAUUAGUGAUUUGCUUACUUUUUCUACUUUAACUGACGUGGGUUGUUUACAAACAUCCAGCAAAUCUUUCCCUUUUUGUCAGCCGGCUGUGGGUGGUGUAAUUCCUGCGUGCCUAAUUCUAAUAUAUGGGUUGAUUGCCUUUAGUUCAUUGGCUGAAUAAUCUGACCUGGGACUAUAUGUAGGCCAGGUGGCUGUUACCUGGGACACACCCUCUGUGGUUCCCACCCCCCUUCCUCGGCGUGCUGCUGGGCGAGGUCUGCAGUUUGGCGUUUGGUGUGGCUGGGUGAAUGCUCUCCUUUGUCUUGGGAAUUCUCCCAAGCGUGCGUGCUGAGGCAUUUGUGAGGAGAUUGCUCCGGUGGUUUAUGCCACGUGCAAAGGUUUCCGUCUGUGUGUGAAGCUACGAGAAGUGUUGUGACUUUCCCGCUGUCUGCCGUGGAGAAGUGAAGCCUUGGAAGCUGGGGUGGUGGAGUACGGGGAGUGUCCAAUACAGCUCUACCCGUGUGUGUGUGAGAUCACCUGUGUCCCCCUCUUCGCGGAGGCUCCUCCCCCUGCAUUAGUGCUUUUUUUUUUUUUUUUUUAGGCUUUGUGGUUCUUUUCUAUUUUUCCCUUUGCUUAUUUUUGUUAUAUUUUGUGUUAAUUGUUUUGUAUGUCCAGACUCAAUCCUGGUGUGUGUGCUGCCUCCGGUGAGCUGUAGCGGACUGGUUUGCUUUUUUUUUUUUUCUGAACGCGCGCUGCAUGUGACUCAGCGCGCUGUGUGUGUGUGUGUCUGUGUAUGUGUUACUAUACUUCCUGGGUCCUGAGUUGCGCGCUGCUGCGGGAGGGAAAGCCUGUAUGGUCAGUAAGCGUGAUUUAUUUCUUUAUGUUGCCGGGCUGUGUAUGGUUUAGUUGUGUUGGUAUAAUUGUUUAUUUGAGUUAAUUUGUUUUUGUUUUCUUUUGUGUCCGAACAGGAGCUGGAAGCGGUGACAGGCUGCUGAGGUGUUGAAGUCUAACUGGGUGUGCUUAGUGGUGUUUGUGUGCUGUGUAGUGGGGACUCCUCUCACCUGCAGUUAGCACUGGUCACAGUGUGCUCCAGCCCUGUUCAGGUUUUGUUUUUGAUUUUUAGUGUUUGUGUUUCUUUUUGUAUUUAUUUAUUGAUUUAUUGGUUUUGUUUUUUUGUAAUAUUUGAUAUUUAUUAAAAGUUAUAUUUUUAAGUAA